GAUGAACGCUGGCGGCGUGCCUAAUACAUGCAAGUCGAGCGAACGGACGAGAAGCUUGCUUCUCUGAUGUUAGCGGCGGACGGGUGAGUAACACGUGGAUAACCUGCCUAUAAGACUGGGAUAACUUCGGGAAACCGGAGCUAAUACCGGAUAAUAUUUUGAACCGCAUGGUUCAAAAGUGAAAGACGGUCUUGCUGUCACUUAUAGAUGGAUCCGCGCUGCAUUAGCUAGUUGGUAAGGUAACGGCUUACCAAGGCAACGAUGCAUAGCCGACCUGAGAGGGUGAUCGGCCACACUGGAACUGAGACACGGUCCAGACUCCUACGGGAGGCAGCAGUAGGGAAUCUUCCGCAAUGGGCGAAAGCCUGACGGAGCAACGCCGCGUGAGCGAUGAAGGUCUUCGGAUCGUAAAACUCUGUUAUUAGGGAAGAACAUAUGUGUAAGUAACUGUGCACAUCUUGACGGUACCUAAUCAGAAAGCCACGGCUAACUACGUG
rnacentral:rRNA from 1 species